rnacentral:rRNA from 1 species
UACGGAGGAUGCGAGCGUUAUCCGGAUUUAUUGGGUUUAAAGGGUGCGCAGGCGGAUUUUUAAGUCAGCGGUCAAAUCGUGGGGCUCAACCCCAUCCAGCCGUUGAAACUGGAGGCCUUGAGUGCACACAGGGAUGCCGGAAUUCAUGGUGUAGCGGUGAAAUGCUUAGAUAUCAUGAAGAACUCCGAUCGCGAAGGCAAGUGUCCGGGGUGCAACUGACGCUGAGGCUCGAAAGUGCGGGUAUCAAACAGG